CGCGUCAUCAGGAUACAUACACAUGACGCAUCAACUUAAUUUGCACUAUCGAGGUACAUACAUACAUACACAUGCAUUUGUUUAAGUACUCAUGAAUUUUACAUAAAAGGCGUUAGGAAAUUGAGUUCUGUCACAUAUCCAAAAAUAUCGCGGUUCUUAAUUUGAUCCAAGUUUCACACAAUUUUAAGAGAGAAAAAUAAUGAAGACAACAGUUAUUGCAAUUCUUUUCAUUCUAACCGUCGCGGCAGCAAUUGCGUGUGACUGUAAUUAUCAUUGGGGUGGCUGCAAAAUUAGUCGAGGUCCACCGGCCGGCCAUAAAUGCAGAUGCAUCUACACAGGGGCUUGGAGUUGUCGAGGGAACCAAGUCAAAUGCAAUGCAAAUCAACAUUGUCCUCGGAAUUGUAAAUCGAAAGCCUGUUGUAGGAUUGGGGGCGGGGAUUGUGGGGGUUAUUGAUGCAUCUAAACCUGAUUAUUCCACACUCGCCGACAUGAAUUGAAGUAGUACUUAUUAUAAAUUAAUCACAAUAUUUUCUAAUUCGGGAAAAUAACCACAUAGUUUAAGCUAGGAUAAUUAAUUAAGGUUAAGAAUUAUUUAUAUAUUUUACCCUUAAAUUUGUUUUACCAAGGAUGUAUGUGUUACAUUUAAAACAAUAUUCUCAUUAUGUAUGGAAUUGAAUAAAUUUCAAAUUCUAUUGGGCACCCACUUCGUGAAACCAAAA